UGUUCGUAUUUAUUUGGUUUAUUACUAUACAUGUAUUUAAUUAGUAUUUGAAUGUAAAAACAUUAUUUUAUUUAUGUUGUCUGGAUUGGUGGCUAUUAUCCGCGCUGCUCGCUGGAAUGCAGAAUAUUCUGCAGCUUGUCAGGUCACAAAUACUCAAUUAAUCUAAGCUCGUACAAAACAAGCUAUUAAGCAAAAUGAAUUUAUUAUAUUUUUAAAAACAACAACAAUAAAAACAAAACAAAAACCACUAAAUGCGCAUGCAAAAUACAUACAGGCUCGCCACCGUUUUUUUCUCCAUCCAUUUCUUUUGACGGCUUGCUUCUGUUGUAUUGAACGAAAUAAAGGCACACAAAAACUCGAGUAAUUCGGGUUUCUUCGGCUGUGCCAAAUUUUUCAUUCCGCUUUACGCUUUACUUAUUUUCACUCAUCUCGCUGAAUGCCGUCUGGUAUGAGACACAAGCGCAGUCACAUUGCUACUCAUGCGUUUCAUUGUGUGCCUUGCACUCACUUAAUUCAAUUCAAUUCGAGUCCACUCAAUUUAACGUAUGUUGUGAGUGAAGCCAUGCAGCCCUCUAGUAUGAACGCAAGGAUCUCAGAACCUAUAAGAGCUACAGACUUGAAAGCGGAUCUGCUCCUGAUAUGAAAUUGGAUACAGCGUCGGUCAAGCCCUUGUUCAGCUGCCUUGGACAAACUGCUCGAGUCAUUUGUGUUAUCAUUGCAGAGUACGGAGGCCAAAUUUUUGUUAUAAGUGGAGGUGAGGAUUCGCAUAUAUGCGUUUGGAGUGAAUCAGGAGAAUUGUUAUUCAAACGCCGUCAACAAUUUGGCGCGCCGAUAUGGCGCCUGAGUUUCGAUCAUUCUACCUAAACACUCUAUAGCACAGGCUCAACAGGAAACGGACUUGCUUACAACUUAAAAAUGACUUUAAGAUCAAAACAGAUCCAUUCAACCCAACUGAUACCGUUAAAUUCAUCCACCGAAUUUAUGAAAAAAUUAAAUAUUUAAAUAAUACUUAGUACAAUCAUUGCUUUAAGCAAUAAAAAUAACACGUUCUGCAUGAGACUUAUUAAUUCAUCUGAAAUGAAAAUUUGGAAAUCGGUUGAAGAUUUCCCCACCUAUAAGUGCACAGUUCUAGCUGUUAAUGAUGGAAUAAUUGCUACCUGUGGCUACCAACGUGUUACACUUCUAAGCUAUAACGGCGAUACAGAACGUUUUGUGCUACUUUACGAUGGAGUGAAGCUCAAAGGUCUUAUCCAAUCAUUUCAGUUCCUCAGCAAAGAACUUUAUUUGAUAUCUGAUGAAUAUGGCAAAUGUCUUUUACUGAAAGGAAAUAACAUGGAUGUUGAAGGAAGCAUAAUUAUCAGUAAAUGUCGUGAGCCCUGGAUAACAGCUGUACUCGCAAUGGCCAUCUUAUUCUCUACACACGAGAAGACAGUGAACAUUUACAACUAAAGACCAUACUUAAACGCUUGCAUGGCAAAUUGGGAUCUACUCUCCUUCAAUUGUUUAAGAUUGAUGGGAUACAUAUUAAGGGCAUUUAGCGUGGAUAGAAGCAUCACCGACAUUAGAUUUGUUGAUCGGAUUUAAUGACAAUCAUAUUGUGGCUUGGUCUCAUAAAAAUGACGUGAUUUUACAAUUGCAAUGCGGAGGAGGCCAUUGGUGUUGGGACUAUCAGUUAAACAAUGAAGUAAUUGAUAAAAUAUAUAUAAGGCAAAAGCAUGUAUUUCACUAUCGCGAGUUACUUCACAAUAAAUGGUCUUCAUGUUUAUGGCAGACUUUGCGAAAGGAUUGGCACACACGAAGUUGCAAUAUUAUACAAUUAAUUGAACAAAAUAAUGUGCAGCUAUAUAUUGUGUCAGCCGGUGAUGAUAAUAUUAUUAAAAUUAAUCAGCUUAUCGGUCAGUCGUUUUAUCAGUGUGCCGAGUUGCAUACGCACAUCUCAAGCAUACGACAUUUAGUAGUAUACCCUUUAAAAUCUGAAAACGAUGUAAACUAUUAGCUUAUCUUCUCAGUCGGAGGUCGGGCGCAGCUAUGCAUUAAUAAGUUUGACACAAAUGGCCCAAUCGUAAGUGAACUGUGCUCGCACAUAGUACGAUCAACAAGCGGCGAUAACGGCUUACAUGAUGCUCGAUUAAUGGCAAUUAACGUUUUACAGCAUGCUACACCUGGAGAAUUCGCACUUUAUAUUGCCAGCGCUGAUGGAAAAAUUCGGUUGCUCCACUGGCAGCUAGAAAGACCUACACAAAUUUACUUACACUGUCAAAUUGACAUUAAAAGAUGUCCGCUUCAGAUGCAGUCUUCGAAUAAUCUUAAUUUAUUGCUAAUCACAACCACAAAUGGCAUGCUGCAUGGCUUCGAUAAGACUCUUUGCCUAAAACGGUUUGAGCUUCAGUUACACGCGGCUGGUAUCAAUGCUUUUGACACGUUAGACGAUGGCUCCCGUUUACAUAUUUUGUCCGGUGGAGACGAUGAAAUCUUUAAGUACACCACAAUCCAAAAAUCCGACAUGAGUGUUCUACAAAGCACGCAGUUCUCGGCCAUGCAUAAUGCUCAGAUAAAUGCGUUGGGAAUACAUUCAUUGAAACGCGUUGAUGAAGCCCCUCAACUACGUGCUUAUACGUGUAGCAUGGAUAAACAAAUUUAUAUGGUAAAUUUAACAACUUUAAAAUACACUCGCAUCGGUUAUACAUGUCUAUCUGAUAUAAAAGGAAUGCUGCUAGAUAAAAAUCAGCGUUUAUAUAUUUACGGUUGUGGGCUAGAAGUAAUUUUACUGGAAAAUAGUUAAAUAUAUGUUAAAAAAAUAA